AUGCAUAUAUGUAUUUGCUCUCCAUACAAACAACGCGAGAGACUGUACGACGGGAUAUACGGCCGGUUGGUCCUCAUAAUGCUUAGUUUUGCUGUAAUUAAUUGAAAACAGUUAUUAGGUCGUCAUUGGCAAUAGCGUAAAUAAUUGCAGCAGAUUUUUACUUAAAAUUGACCGGUCACGGAGUGAUAGAUCGAUUCGAGGUAUAAAAAUGAUGUAUCAAAACAUCAAUGUCGAUUAUUUGAAAUAUUGUAGUCGAAUCUUUUUAUUGCUUCAUCGGUUAAGUGUCUGAAAGUGCUGUGUUCCAACAUAUAUUUAUGUUGUCAAUACUGUCAAAACUGUCAGUUUUAUUACACCGGAUUUGUAAUACAUUUCGGAUUUGCUCAUUUACAUAAAAUGGCCACCCCGGGUACCCCCCCUUCUCCCCUCUCUGGAAAUCUCUGUCAAUGCUGAAAGGAUCCGGGACUCACAGCUGAGGCAAAAGAAGUAGAAGUAUGGCUCCAUUAAGUCCAAUUCGAACGUCCCUCUGGAAAGCUCGGGUUAUUUCUAACUUGCCAUCAGAGGGAAUCCUCCCACCCCUUUACCUCCCCAGUAAGAUUUAAACACUUUUCUUCUCUCACACCUCGCUUAAACCCUUUAGGAGCGCCGAGAACCUGCACGGAGAGAACGGCGAGCCGGAGCCCACCUGGGAGCCCGGAGCCCUCCGAGCAGAGCGGCCCCGACCCGCCCGCGUAGGGCCGGGUGCGGGCAGCAGCGGGGAACAAAGGGAGCGAUGACCGUAGGGGAUCCUUCCUUAGCGGGUCGGAGCCCGAAGGAACGCGGAGUGGGAGCAGAGGGGCGUUCCGCGCCCCCUGUCCCGCAGCCCCCAUGCAGCGGGGUCUGAACUGGUGGUUCUCUUUAGCCGUGAGCCCUGAGUUGGUGUUAGCCCGGUGCCAGGCACCCCUCGCUCACGCUCCCCCCGCGCCCAGCCGGGAAGCGGCCAAGCUCAGCAAUAAAUCAAUCCGCUGCCACAUCGCUCCCUUCGAUCGAGCAAACACUGCGAUCCAGCCCGGUCACUUCUCCUCCCACCCCACCCGCUCUGAGGCUGACGCUGCUUCACGGGCUGGGGAGACGGACCCGAGGUGCGGGGUGAGGGGGAGGGGGUGGUUUGUCUUUUUCUGUUUGUUUCUUUCUUGUCAUUUUUCUCCCCCCCCCCCCCCCCCCCUUUUUUUUUUUCUUUUUCCUUCUCCCCUUUCCCAGGGAGAUGUAUGCUUAAAGAGCCGCUGGAGCGAGCCCCGAGUUCCCGGGGGAGAAGGAAGGUUGGCCCGUGGAGAGGCAGCCGGCAGCAAAGCAGCCGGUACUUCUCCACGGCGUUUUCACGUCCGAAGAGUUUGCGGCGGGGUUUCCCGGCUCCCUGGGGAGGCUCCGAGGGAUGCAGCGGGCAGCGGAGAGCCGCGCCUCGGCGGGAGGCUUAGCGCAAGGGGACACGCUCAGGGAGCCGCGGUGACAUCCAGCAGCCCCUUGAGUUUCACAUGUUUUUCCAAUCGCUCAACCCCAAAUAUAUGGUGUCCCCCUCCCUCCCCCCUCCUCUUUCCUAGGAAUGCGCGUAAUAAAACCUAA
rnacentral:lncRNA from 7 species